AUGAUAUCUUGGCUCUACUUGACAUUUUUAGUAGCAGUUCUCAGAGGUGCCCAAUCUGAAGUUCAGUUGACUGAGUCUGGUGGGGAUGUGAGGAGACCUGGAGAGUCCCUUCAUCUCAUCUGUCAAGCAGCUGGCUUCACCUUCAGUGAUUACAGCAUGCAUUGGAUGAGACAGGCUCGUGGGAAAGGGCUGGUAUGGGUGGCACAUAUACGCUAUGAUUCUACAUCUUUUCACUAUUCUGAUGAAGUCAAGAGUCGCUUCACCAUAUCCAAGGACAAUGCCAAAGACCAGAUGCAUCUGCAAAUGAACAGCCUAAAGCAUGAAGACACAGCUGUCUAUUACUGUGUAAGAGCCCGUUCUCAACCGGGGUGGUGGUGGUGGGGGCAUUGUCAGGGUACAAUAUCAUAUAUCUCCAGUCUGCAACAUAGUCCUGUUCCAAGAAGAAUCCACACCCAAUUGCACCAUGCAGGACACAGAUAA